GAGUGUGCUUGUGGUGAUGGCGGUGGCCAUGGCGACGUUUGGGGAGUGUGGGUCGUCGCACCACGCGGCUCCGGCGCCGGCGGUGGACUGCUCGAGCCUGAUCUUGAACAUGGCGGACUGCUUGUCCUUUGUGUCUAAUGGGAGCACCGAUACAAAGCCCGCAGGGACUUGCUGCAGCGGCCUCAAGACCGUCCUCAAAGCUGACGCUGCCUGCCUCUGCGAGGCCUUCAAGAGCAGCGCUCAACUCGGCGUCGUUUUGAACAUUACCAAGGCCGCCUCCCUCCCCGCUGCCUGCAAAGUCUCUGCUCCUUCUGCCACCAACUGUGGAU
rnacentral:lncRNA from 1 species